UACGAAGGGGGCUAGCGUUGUUCGGAUUUACUGGGCGUAAAGCGUGCGUAGACGGCUAUCUAAGUCGGGUGUGAAAGCCCCGGGCUCAACCUGGGAAUUGCAUUCGAGACUGAAUAGCUAGGGUGCGGUAGAGGGAAGCGGAAUUUCCGGUGUAGAGGUGAAAUUCGUAGAUAUCGGGAGGAACACCAGUGGCGAAAGGGCGGCGAUCUGGGUCGAUACUGACGCUGAGGUGCGAAAGCGUGGGGAGCAAAGCAGG
rnacentral:rRNA from 1 species